GAUGAACGCUGGCGGCGUGCCUAAUACAUGCAAGUCGAGCGAACGGACGAGAAGCUUGCUUUUCUGAUGUUAGCGGCGGACGGGUGAGUAACACGUGGAUAACCUACCUAUAAGACUGGGAUAACUUCGGGAAACCGGAGCUAAUACCGGAUAAUAUUUUGAACCGCAUGGUUCAAAAGUGAAAGACGGUCUUGCUGUCACUUAUAGAUGGAUCCGCGCUGCAUUAGCUAGUUGGUAAGGUAACGGCUUACCAAGGCAACGAUGCAUAGCCGACCUGAGAGGGUGAUCGGCCACACUGGAACUGAGACACGGUCCAGACUCCUACGGGAGGCAGCAGUAGGGAAUCUUCCGCAAUGGGCGAAAGCCUGACGGAGCAACGCCGCGUGAGUGAUGAAGGUCUUCGGAUCGUAAAACUCUGUUAUUAGGGAAGAACAUAUGUGUAAGUAACUGUGCACAUCUUGACGGUACCUAAUCAGAAAGCCACGGCUAACUACGUGCCAGCAGCCGCGGUAAUACGUAGGUGGCAAGCGUUAUCCGGAAUUAUUGGGCGUAAAGCGCGCGUAGGCGGUUUUUUAAGUCUGAUGUGAAAGCCCACGGCUCAACCGUGGAGGGUCAUUGGAAACUGGAAAACUUGAGUGCAGAAGAGGAAAGUGGAAUUCCAUGUGUAGCGGUGAAAUGCGCAGAGAUGUGGAGGAACACCAGUGGCGAAGGCGACUUUCUGGUCUGUAACUGACGCUGAUGUGCGAAAGCGUGGGGAUCAAACAGGAUUAGAUACCCUGGUAGUCCACGCCGUAAACGAUGAGUGCUAAGUGUUAGGGGGUUUCCGCCCCUUAGUGCUGCAGCUAACGCAUUAAGCACUCCGCCUGGGGAGUACGACCGCAAGGUUGAAACUCAAAGGAAUUGACGGGGGCCCGCACAAGCGGUGGAGCAUGUGGUUUAAUUCGAAGCAACGCGAAGAACCUUACCAAAUCUUGACAUCCUUUGACAACUCUAGAGAUAGAGCCUUCCCCUUCGGGGGACAAAGUGACAGGUGGUGCAUGGUUGUCGUCAGCUCGUGUCGUGGGAUGUUGGGUUAAGUCCCGCAACGAGCGCAACCCUUAAGCUUAGUUGCCAUCAUUAAGUUGGGCACUCUAAGUUGACUGCCGGUGACAAACCGGAGGAAGGUGGGGAUGACGUCAAAUCAUCAUGCCCCUUAUGAUUUGGGCUACACACGUGCUACAAUGGACAAUACAAAGGGCAGCGAAACCGCGAGGUCAAGCAAAUCCCAUAAAGUUGUUCUCAGUUCGGAUUGUAGUCUGCAACUCGACUACAUGAAGCUGGAAUCGCUAGUAAUCGUAGAUCAGCAUGCUACGGUGAAUACGUUCCCGGGUCU
rnacentral:rRNA from 1 species